GUGAGGAAUAUUGCGCAAUGGAGGCAACUCUGACCCAGCCAUGCCGCGUGCAGGAUGACGGCCCUCUGGGUUGUAAACUGCUUUUAUACGGGAAGAAAAAAUACUACGUGUAGUAUACUGACGGUACCGUAAGAAUAAGGAUCGGCUAACUCCGUGCCAGCAGCCGCGGUAAUACGGAGGAUCCAAGCGUUGUCCGGAUUUAUUGGGUUUAAAGGGUGCGUAGGCGGAUCUUUAAGUCAGUGGUGAAAGCCUGCAGCUUAACUGUAGAAUUGCCAUUGAAACUGAAGAUAUUGAAUGUGGUUAAAGUAGGCGGAAUGUAUCAUGUAGCGGUGAAAUGCUUAGAUAUGAUACAGAACACCGAUAGCGAAGGCAGCUUGCUGAACCAUUAUUGACGCUGAGGCACGAAAGCGUGGGGAGCGAACAGGAUUAGAUACCCGAGUAGUCC
rnacentral:rRNA from 1 species